rnacentral:rRNA from 1 species
UACGUAGGGUGCGAGCGUUAAUCGGAUUUACUGGGCGUAAAGCGUGCGCAGGCGGUACGUUAAGACAUGUGUAAAAUCUCUGGGCUCAACCUAGGAAUUGCGCUUGUGACUGGCGGGCUUGAGUACGGUAGAGGGGGGUGGAAUUCCUGGUGUAGCAGUGAAAUGCGUAGAGAUCAGGAGGAACACCGAUGGCGAAGGCAGCCCCCUGGGCCUGUACUGACGCUCAUGCACGAAAGCGUGGGGAGCAAACAGG